rnacentral:tRNA from 1 species
GCGGCGAACCUGCUGGUCAGACGGGUCGUUGGAGAUUGCUUGAAAACCGCUAAGGCAGGACCCACCUGUCUUCAUGGGUUCGAAUCCCAUGCCCUCCGCUCCA